rnacentral:rRNA from 1 species
AACGAACGCUGGCGGCGCGCCUAAUACAUGCAAGUCGAGCGAGAAGGUGUAGCAAUACACUUGUAAAGCGGCGAACGGGUGAGGAAUACAUGGGUAAAUCUACCAUCGAGUGGGGAAUAACCAACCGAAAGGUUGGCUAAUACCGCGUACGCCUCCGAGUCUUCGGGUUCGGAGGGAAAGCUGCACUGUGAGUGUAGCGCUCUUUGAUGAGCUCAUGUCCUAUCAGCUUGUUGGUAGGGUAACGGCCUACCAAGGCUUUGACGGGUAGCUGGUCUGAGAGGACGAUCAGCCACACUGGCACUGCGACACGGGCCAGACUCCUACGGGAGGCAGCAGUAAGGAAUAUUGCGCAAUGGGCGAAAGCCUGACGCAGCGACGCCGCGUGGGGGAUGAAGGUCUUCGGAUUGUAAACCCCUUUCGGGAGGGAAGAUGGAGCGAGCAAUCGUUCGGACGGUACCUCCAGAAGCAGCCACGGCCAACUUCGUGCCAGCAGCC